rfam:Halothece sp. PCC 7418, complete genome.
GGGGGUAUAGCUCAGUUGGUAGAGCACCUGCCUUGCACGCAGGGAGUCAGCGGUUCGAGUCCGCUUACCUCCA